rnacentral:rRNA from 1 species
UACGGAGGGUGCAAGCGUUAUCCGGAUUCACUGGGUUUAAAGGGUGCGUAGGCGGGUAAGUAAGUCCGUGGUGAAAUCUCUGAGCUUAACUCAGAAACUGCCGUGGAUACUAUUUGCCUUGAAUAUUGUGGAGGUGAGCGGAAUAUGUCAUGUAGCGGUGAAAUGCUUAGAUAUGACAUAGAACACUAAUUGCGAAGGCAGCUCACUACACAAUCAUUGACGCUGAGGCACGAAAGCGUGGGGAUCAAACAGG